rnacentral:misc_RNA from 1 species
GAUGAAGAACGUAGCGAAAUGCGAUAAGUAAUGUGAAUUGCAGAAUUCAGUGAAUCAUCGAAUCUUUGAACGCAUAUUGCGCCCGCUGGUAUUCCGGCGGGCAUGCCUGUUCGAGCGUCAUUUCAACCCUCAAGCUCUCCGGAGUUUGGUGUUGGGGCGCCUGGGGCUUUUCGACCUCAGGGCCCUCAAGUCCAUCGGCGGGACCGCCAGGACACUGAGCGCAGUAGUAUUAUUUCGCUCGGUAGGAUCUUCCACGGCGGGUCGAUCUGGCCGCUAAACCCCCCAAUUCUCACCAAAGGUUGACCUCGGAUCAGGUAGGAAUACCCGCUGAACUUAAGCAUAUCAAUAAGCGGAGGA